GGGUGCGAUCAUACUAGCAUUAAUGCAUCGGAUCCCAUCAGAAUUCCGAAGUUAAACGUGCUUGGGCGAGAGUAGUACUAAAAUGGUUGACCUCUUGGGAAGUACUCUUUUUGCACCCC
rfam:Ricinus communis cultivar Hale ctg_1100012355282, whole genome shotgun sequence.